AGCUUUGCGCAGUGGCAGUAUCGUAGCCAAUGAGGUUUAUCUGAGGCAAGGUUAUUGCUAAUUGAAAAUAUGGAGAUAUUCCACUGGCAUUUGCUUUGUCCCUACUUUAGCAGUUACCAAAGUUC
rnacentral:snRNA from 1 species